GUUUCCUAUUACAGCCCUUGCUUGUCUUUCCAGAUCUAUUUUGCUGAACCUCCUCCACCUGCCUUCUUCCCAGCACUCUAUGCUCCAACAAUUCCAAAUUUGCCUCUCAACUUGUUGUCCUCCACCUGGAAUAUCCUUAGGUAAAUCACUUAACUUCUCUUAGCCUAUUUUCUCAUCUGUAAAAUGGGAGUUAUAAUAUGUAUAUUUGGGGUUGUUUGAUGAUUAACUGAAAUAAUAUAUUUCAAAAUGUGUAGUCUGGGCCUAGUCGAAAGAAAAUGCUUAAUGCUCAUUCAUUCACCAAUUCUAGAACUUGUAAAGUUA
rnacentral:lncRNA from 10 species